rnacentral:rRNA from 1 species
CAACCUGGAAACAGAUGCUAAUACCGGAUAACAACAGAUGAUGCCUAUCAACUGUUUAAAAGAUGGUUCUGCUAUCACUCUUGGAUGGACCUGCGGUGCAUUAGCUAGUUGGUAGGGUAACGGCCUACCAAGGCGAUGAUGCAUAGCCGAGUUGAGAGACUGAUCGGCCACAUUGGGACUGAGACACGGCCCAAACUCCUACGGGAGGAGCAGCC